AUUGAACGCUGGCGGCAGGCCUAAGACAUGCAAGUCGAGCGAGAAAGUACUUCGGUACGAGUACAGCGGCGGACGGGUGAGUAACGCGUAGGAAUCUACCUAGUAGUGGGGGACAACUCGUGGAAACGCGAGCUAAUACCGCAUACGCCCUACGGGGGAAAGCGGGGGAUCUUCGGACCUCGUGCUAUUAGAUGAGCCUGCGUAAGAUUAGCUAGUUGGUGGGGUAAAGGCCUACCAAGGCGACGAUCUUUAGCUGGUCUGAGAGGAUGAUCAGCCACACCGGGACUGAGACACGGCCCGGACUCUUACGGGAGGCAGCAGUCGGGAAUAUUGCGCAAUGGGCGAAAGCCUGACGCAGCCAUGCCGCGUGUGUGAAGAAGGCCCUAGGGUUGUAAAGCACUUUCAAUUGGGAGGAAAAGCUAAUGGUUAAUAGCCAUUAGCCCUGACGUUACCUUUAGAAGAAGCACCGGCUAACUCCGUGCCAGCAGCCGCGGUAAUACGGAGGGUGCAAGCGUUAAUCGGAAUUACUGGGCGUAAAGCGCGCGUAGGCGGCUCUUUAAGUCGGAUGUGAAAGCCCCGGGCUCAACCUGGGAACUGCAUCCGAUACUGGGGAGCUAGAGUGUAGGAGAGGGAGGUAGAAUUCCAUGUGUAGCAGUGAAAUGCGUAGAUAUAUGGAGGAAUACCAGUGGCGAAGGCGGCCUCCUGGCUAACACU
rnacentral:rRNA from 1 species